rnacentral:rRNA from 1 species
GACGAACGCUGGCGGCGUGCUUAACACAUGCAAGUCGAACGGAAAGGCCCUGCUUUUGUGGGGUGCUCGAGUGGCGAACGGGUGAGUAACACGUGAGUAACCUGCCCUUGACUUUGGGAUAACUUCAGGAAACUGGGGCUAAUACCGGAUAGGAGCUCCUGCUGCAUGGUGGGGGUUGGAAAGUUUCGGCGGUUGGGGAUGGACUCGCGGCUUAUCAGCUUGUUGGUGGGGUAGUGGCUUACCAAGGCUUUGACGGGUAGCCGGCCUGAGAGGGUGACCGGCCACAUUGGGACUGAGAUACGGCCCAGACUCCUACGAGAGGCAGCAGUGGGGAAUAUUGCACAAUGGGCGGAAGCCUGAUGCAGCAACGCCGCGUGCGGGAUGACGGCCUUCGGGUUGUAAACCGCUUUCGCCUGUGACGAAGCGUGAGUGACGGUAAUGGGUAAAGAAGCACCGGCUAACUACGUG